rnacentral:rRNA from 1 species
GACGAACGCUGGCGGCGUGCUUAACACAUGCAAGUCGAGCGGUAAGGCCCUUUCGGGGGUACGACGAGCGGCGAACGGGUGAGUAACACGUGGGUGACCUGCCCUCAGCUCUGGGAGUAAGCCUGGGAAACGUAGGGUCUAAUACUGGAUAUGACUCCACGGUGCAUGUCGUGGGGUGGAAAGCCUUGUGCGGCUGCGGAUGGGCCCGCGGCCUAUCAGCUUGUUGGUGGGGNGAUGGCCUACCAAGGCGACGACGGGUAGCCGGCCUGAGAGGGCGACCGGCCACACUGGGACUGAGACACGGCCCAGACUCCUACGGGAGGGCAGCAGUGGGGAAUCUUGCGCAAUGGGCGAAAGCCUGACGCAGCG